UAACCCACGAGAACUUCCUGCUGUUUGCCU
rnacentral:piRNA from 1 species